CGGGGCGGGGGAGGUGCUGCCGCCGUUGUCGCUGCCGCCGCCGCCGCUGUUGCGCGACUGGCUCGCUGGCUCCGCCUUCCGCGGCGCUGCGCUCCCGCGGGCUUGAGGGGCAGGAGUUGCAUAUCCGAAAAGUGGAUGUUCAGGAUAACAUGUCCAAUGUGUCGGAAGAGAGAAGCACUAGACAACAGGACAUUAAGAAGGGACUCCAGUUUAUAGAAUCUACUUUGCCCUAUCCAGGGACGCAAGAACAAUAUGAGUUAUUUAUACGAGAGCUUGUCAGAAAUCUUUUUAAUGAGGGGAAUGAUGUAUAUCGAGAAGGUGAUUGGAGGGGAUCACUGAGUCACUAUACAGAAGCUAUAAACAUAGCUGAUUAUGCUAAUUCUGAAGAAAUCCAUGUUUCUGAUGAUAUUUUAGAGAAGCUGCACGUGAACAGGAUAGCAUGUUUUUCAAAUAUGGGAUUGCAUGAAAAAGUUCUAGAAGACUGUGAAAUAGCAUUAAGAUUGAAUGAAAACAAUUUCAGAGCUCUCUAUAGGAAAGCAAAAGCUUUGAAUGAACUGGGAAGGUACAAGAAGGCUUAUGAUGCUGUAGCAAAAUGUUCUCUUGCUGUGCCACAGGAUGAAAGUGUGAUUAAGCUUACCCAGGAACUAGCUCAAAAACUAGGGUUAAAAAUAAGGAAAGCAUAUGUAAGAGCAAAGCCACCCUCCUCCAAUUCAGUUUCUAGCGACGUAUCAACUCAGAAUUCUUCUUCUGUAGAAGAUAUUGAGUUAGAUUUAUCUGACCAGAAGCAAGAGAUGGUUUCUGCUGCUUCUUCAACAAAUUUUGAAGUGUCUAAAGUGUCAUCAGUACCUGUACCAUCUUUAUCUUCUAUUAUGCCUCUUCAAGUGGAAAAGGUUUCUUUGCCAUCUGCAGUGUUGGCAAAUGGAGGGAAUGUUUCUUUCUCUAUGCCAGAAGCAUGUUUAGAUUGUGGAGAUGGAGAUAUAAUUAUUGGGGAAGAACUUGAUGAAUUACUUGAUUCUGUGCCUGAUCCAGAUGAAAGUGUAAUGCAAACUGCAGGAGUCAGAGGACCGAUUCCCACAGGGAGCAUGGCUCCUACUGUACCUUUCUCUGCCUCCUUGUUAGGGACGCUACCAGUUAGUGCAGGAUUUGUUCCUUCACCUUCCCUUUCAGAAAUCUUUUCACAGCCUUUGGCUUCUUCACUGGAAAAUUUUUGCUCACCAUUAAGCACCUUUUCAAUCAGUGACCCAAAAAGAGACCUCUCAAGUUCAGCUUCUAGAGAUGGAACACCAACACUUAGCAGCAAUAAUUCCCCAUUGUUUAUAAAUGGCCCUAGUAGUUUGUUUGGGUCUGAAAAUUACAUGGGAAUUACAGGCCAAACUAGAAAUGACUUUUCAAAUGUUUUUAGCAGUGCAACUGCUAAUAUACCUGUAUCUUCAGCACUUGCGGGAAGAAACCCACUAGAAGGCACACAUGAGCUAAGACAGGCCUGCCAGUUAUGUUUUGUCAAAAAAGGUCCUAAAUUAUUGGAUUACACUUACCAUCCCAGUUUAGAACAUAAAUGUAAGAAAGAUAUUCUAAUUGGCAGAAUAAAAAACUCUGAAGAUAAAUCAUGGAAAAAAAUACGUCCCAGACCAACAAAGACACAGUAUGUGGGACCAUAUUAUAUAUGUAAAGAUGUUGCUGCUGAAGAGGAAUGCAGAUAUCCAGGUCAUUGCACGUUUGCGUAUUGCCAAGAGGAGAUCGAUGUGUGGACGCUGGAGCGCAAAGGAGCCUUCAGUCGAGAGGCUCUUUUUGGGGGAAAUGGAAAGAUCAACUUGACUGUGUCCCGACUUCUUCAAGAACAUCAUGGAUUAUUUAUGUUUCUUUGUGAGAAAUGUUUUGAUCACAAACCGAGAAUAAUAAGCAAAAGGAACAAGGAUAACUCAUCUUCUUGUUCUCACCCUGCUAUGCAUGACUUUGAAGAUAACAAGUGCCUUGUCCACAGUCUGCGUGAAACUAUGGUGAAAUAUUCCAAAAUCCGUCCUUUUCAAGUUCGAUGUCAGCUUGACCUGUGCAGACAUGAGGUGCAUUAUGGCUGCUUACGAGAGGAUAAAUGCUUUUAUGCUCACAGCCUGGUAGAGCUUAAAGUCUGGAUAAUGCAAAAGGAAACAGGUAUUUCACAUGAUGCUAUUGUUCAAGAAUCAAAGAAGUACUGGCAGAACAUGGAAGCUAGUGCACAUGGAUCACAGAUCCUUGGGAACCAAAUGAAAUAUGGAUCACUUAAUUUGAAAAUGAAAUUUGUUUGUGGUCAGUGCUGGAGAAAUGGUCAAGUUAAUGAGCCAGACAGAAACAAAAAGUACUGUAGUGCAAAGGCAAGACACCCAUGGACCAAAGAUCGCCGUGUGGUGCUAGUAAUGUCUAAUGAACGUAAAAAGUGGAUGACCAUUCGUCCUCUUCCGGCAAAGAAACAAGUGCCUCUGCAAUUUGAUUUGUGCAAUCAUAUUGCUUCGGGCAAGAAAUGUCAGUAUGAUGGAAACUGCUCAUUUGCUCACAGUCCUGAGGAGAGAGAGAUGUGGACCUAUAUGAAGGAGAACAGCACUUCUGCUCUCAUUAGUUCAAGACUUGGAGCAGUUGUAUGACAUAUGGCUAAAAAGUCAAAAACCAGAAAAGGGAGAUGAUACAGCUGCUCAGGCAAACAAAGAGAAUGGGAAGCAAAUUCACAUGCCGACUGACUAUGCUGAAGUUACAGUGGAUUUUCACUGUUGGAUGUGUGGGAAGAACUGUAAUAGUGAGAAGCAAUGGCAGGGUCACAUUUCUUCUGAAAAGCAUAAAGAGAAGGUUUUCCACACCGAGGACGAUCAAAACUGCUGGCAGUAUCGCUUUCCAACCGGAAAUUUUAGCAUUUGUGAUAGAUAUAUGGCUGGUACUUGUACUGAAGGAAACAACUGUAAAUUUGCCCAUGGAAAUGCUGAACUCCAUGAAUGGGAAGAACGAAGACAAGUUUUAAGAAUGAAGCUCAGCAAAGCAAGGAAAGAUCACUUGAUUGCUCCCAGUGAUAAUGACUUUGGAAAAUAUAGUUUUUUGUUUAAAGAUUUAAACUAAUACUGAGAUGACACAUACAUGUUAUCAGCUGGAAGCAUAAACCAGAAAAUUUGACAAUAAUCAAAAGCAUGUGACAGAAAAGCUGCAGGUUUUCUGCUUUUAUUGGCAUAUAUUGUUCCUCCUGAACAGCAAAAUAUAGUAGAUUUAGGGGGAUUGAGCAGACCUGUCUGUGCUCUCAUGAAACAGAGUGGUGAUUAAAAAAAUCUGAAGUAUUACGCGCUUACUCACCUUCUGUUGGACAGAAAGUUAGGAAAUAGAAGGGGGGGGAAGAGAGGUCAUAAUCUAGGAAGCCCCCUAGUAUCAGUCCUUCAGUUGAAAAACUUUAAGGUAUCAAGGUAUUGCAAAACUGUGUGUUAUGGACUAAGAAGAAAAUGAUGGAUCAAAAUUCUUCAGAUCUUUUAAUGGAGAGGAUUUGUUUAAAACAAAGUUUGCUACUUAUCUAUAUGUAGGUUGCUAAAAAGGAUUUUUCUUAUUAAAGAUUUUAAACAAAAUAACCAUUUAACUACAGUAUAUGUUGAAUGGGUAUUUUUUCUCUAUUUGUAUGUUUCAAUAUAAUUUACUGAAAAAGGAUCUUGGGAAGAAAAAAAACGAAGUAGUUAAAAUUCUGUUUAUUGGUCUUUGCUGUUUAAAUGAUGAUUUUGAAAGAUUACACUUGUAUGUCAGUAUUGUGUACUAUUGUAUGGACUAAUGUUGCCUGUAAUAAAGAGAACUUUACACAAAGCUGUUUUCUGCAUGUAGCCUCUCAGGAUUGAGAUUUUGUAAAAACAAACUAACAAUUAUUUCAUUAUUAGCAAAAGCUUGAGCACCUGUAGCUAAAAAUUUACUGAGUUGGUGUUUGUGUUUCCAGCUUCUUGUUUGCAGUUUUCUGUACUGUCAUUAGCUCAUUGCAUCAGUAAAGUAACAAGAAUGGCCAACUCACUUGUGGAGACACAAUUUUGGAGCUAUGUGGUGCUGGGACAUGUUUUCAGCCUUUUGACGUGGGCAUGAAGCACCCCCACCUCAGCUGCAAAGUGAAUGGGACGUUAGAUGGCAUUUCCUGCAACCCAUAGGAAAGGAAAAACCAUGCAUGGGCUGAGGUGCUUUCCGCCUGACAAGCCUUUUGGCUUUACAGUAGCCAGAGCUUUUGUUGUGUUUUGGCUUCUCUGCAGAUUGUGCUUUCAGCUUGCUUUGUGUGAUGACUUCAUGCCCUUUUUAAUUUCCUUUUUCCCCUAAACCAAGCUUUAUUUAGUCAUUCAAAAUAGCUGAAGCUAGUUUUCUUCUUUUCCACAUACUUCUCCCUCUUAAUAGUACUUUUUCUGUUAAUGGCUGACCUUAUAUAAUUAGAAGAGCUUUAAGAAUGACUUCAGUAGUUUGAAUGUAGUCAAUGGCCACGUAUUGUGUAUGUAAAAAGUGUUGAACCAAAGUUCAGUGAUACUCAUGCAGAGAAUGAGCCUGGAGGCCGUGUCCCAUUCACUUCACAAAAUAAAAGCACAACAGUUACGGGAACACCACCUUAUGCUUCAGCCAGAGCAAGGGGGAUGUGGAAGAAAUUGUUCCGUCCCGGCAAGGCUGAAGGCCAUUUGACUAUGAUGUACAGUGUGCAUACAGGAGUAGCUUGGUGCUUGACAUACCACCUGCUGCAGUGCUAGUUUUUUACAUUGUUUGUAAUGAACUGAGCUUGAAAUAGAGUAUUAUGGACAGUUAUUUCUGUGACAAAACCUGAUUGUAUCGUGUGCCUUUCCGAAUUGUUUUCUCAAUUUUAUGCUUUCACUGUUUAAUGUAAGUGCUCUGUAAAUUACUGGAAGUAAUUCUAGAGAAAACUAAACAUGAAAUCCUUGUUCCAUA